rnacentral:piRNA from 1 species
UAGUGAAUUCACCUGCCGUAACUUUUAUGC